rnacentral:lncRNA from 1 species
UAGGGGAAGAUGAACAGACACAUAGAGAUGGAUGGGUGAAGUGAAGUAGAAUAUUACUGAAUAAUCUUCAACCUUGAAUGAGGAAAAUGAGAUACAGGAUGCCUAAUGUUUCAUUGACAUCCAUGAAAAGAGACAUGAAAACAUCCAAAUCUCUCUCAGUGGAAGAAAGUUAAGGGGACCACAUGCAGAACCACAGCUCCACUGAGCAUGGUGACCCUGGCAGGACAACAGGGAUCCCAUCCGUGCACCUGUCCUUGUGUGGCCAGAGGGAGAGGCCGUGCCUCGUGCAUCAAGAAGAAAAUCAUGUUUGGAAGCUAUUCUAUAAUGAGUUUGAUAUGAUUCUGAAUCUUGGAACAGUGAUGAUUGUGCACAGAACACCAGUUAACAUGUCCUGUCCCAGUAAAGGAGAAGCUGUGGUCAUAGGAUAACAGUCCCAAGGAGCAGUCACCCAGGUAUGGAGCAGGGAUGUAUGUAUGUAUGUCUUCUUUAGGUAUUAGGUUUAAUGACAAAUUAGAAGGGCUGAUAAUAAAAUUCUUGUGAUGAAAAUUUCUUCUGAAAGG